GCCAAAAAGAGAUUUUGGCAUUGAUUCAUGGCAUCCUUUCUUGGAAAGUCCUAAUUCCUAGUCUAUAAAAAGGGGACCCCUCUCUUGGAUGUCCCAUGACCAAUUCUCUUGUAGAUUUUUUAUUUUUUAGAGCCUCUUCUCCUCCUCCUCUCUUCCUCCUUCAGAUUUUCUAUUACUUUAGAGUAUCCAAGAUACUUGUAGAAGAAGGAAGAGGUCAGCUGUCGAAGUUGUUCGCAGACUAGCAUCUCCGAGCCCC
rnacentral:lncRNA from 1 species